rnacentral:rRNA from 1 species
CCUUAGUAACUGCGAGUGAAGCGGCAAAAGCUCAAAUUUGAAAUCUGGCGUCUUCGACGUCCGAGUUGUAAUUUGGAGGGGCAUCUUCGGAAUUGGCGCCGUCCUAAGUUCCUUGGAACAGGACGUCAUAGAGGGUGAGAAUCCCGUGCCUGGAUGGCUGUCCAAUUCCAUGUGAAGUGUCUCCGACGAGUCGAGUUGUUUGGGAAUGCAGCUCAAAAUGGGUGGUAAAUUUCAUCUAAAGCUAAAUAUUGGCGAGAGACCGAUAGCGCACAAGUAGAGUGAUCGAAAGAUGAAAAGCACUUUGAAAAGAGAGUUAAAAAGUACGUGAAAUUGUUGAAAGGGAAGCGCUUGAGACCAGACUCAAUCUUAGGUGAUCAGCCGUGCUUCUGUACGGUGCACUUGCCUUUGAUUGGGCCAGCAUCAGUUCUGACGGUGGGAUAAAAUGCGAAGGAAUGUGGCUCUCUUCGGGGAGUGUUAUAGCCUUUGUAACAAUGCCACCAGUUGGGACUGAGGACCGCGCUUCGGCUAGGAUGCUGGCGUAAUGGUCUUAAGCGACCCGUCUUGAAACACGGACCAAGGAGUCUAACAUCUAUGCGAGUGUUCGGGUGGAAAACCCUUGCGCGUAAUGAAAGUGAACGGAGGUGUGAACCCCUCGGGGUGCAACAUCGACCGAUCCUGAUGUUUUCGGAAGGAUUUGAGUAAGAGCAUAGCUGUUGGGACCCGAAAGAUGGUGAACUAUGCCUGAAUAGGGUGAAGCCAGAGGAAACUCUGGUGGAGGCUCGCAGCGGUUCUGACGUGCAAAUCGAUCGUCAAAUUUGGGUAUAGGGGCGAAAGAC